rnacentral:rRNA from 1 species
GACGAACGCUGGCGGCGUGCUUAACACAUGCAAGUCGAGCGGUAAGGCCCUUUCGGGGGUACGACGAGCGGCGAACGGGUGAGUAACACGUGGGUGACCUGCCCUCAGCUCUGGGAUAAGCCUGGGAAACCGGGUCUAAUACCGGAUAUGACUCCAUGACGCAUGUUGGUGGGGUGGAAAGCCUUGUGCGGCUGAGGAUGGGCCCGCGGCCUAUCAGCUUGUUGGUGGGGUGANGGCCUACCAAGGCGACGACGGGUAGCCGGCCUGAGAGGGCGACCGGCCACACUGGGACUGA